CACCCUUGCAAUGGGCAAAGAGAUACCUUGGUGGUGGUGGUGGUGGUGUUCUUAUAUCAGCCAGGGGCAGAGAAGAUGCCAGUCCUUUGUUCCUCCUAGAUUGAUGCCUGUCUUGAUGGCCAAAGCUGUUUUAUGCCUAGGAUAAAAAU
rfam:Mus musculus chromosome 14, GRC primary reference assembly.